AACCUACGGGGGGCAGCAGUAGGGAAUCUUCCACAAUGGACGAAAGUCUGAUGGAGCAACGCCGCGUGAGUGAAGAAGGGUUUCGGCUCGUAAAGCUCUGUUGGUAGUGAAGAAAGAUAGAGGUAGUAACUGGCCUUUAUUUGACGGUAAUUACUUAGAAAGUCACGGCUAACUACGUGCCAGCAGCCGCGGUAAUACGUAGGUGGCAAGCGUUAUCCGGAUUUAUUGGGCGUAAAGCGAGUGCAGGCGG
rnacentral:rRNA from 1 species